rnacentral:ncRNA from 2 species
CGCUCAUCCAGAGGGGCAGAGGGAAACGGCCCGUUGAAGCCCCGGCAACCCUCCAGCCGGUCUCCGUCGUGACAGUGCGAUCCGCAGCAGCGGACAGCGCCCGUCCACGCCGCGAGGCUCCCGGCUAGGGAAGGUGCCAAAUCCGUCUCAUGGCGAGAUGCGCCAUGAGGAAGAUGAGGA